AUCUUUGCGCUUGGGGCAAUGACACAGCUAGUGAGGUAAAACCGAGGCGCGUCAAUUGCUGGUUGAAAACUAUUUCCAACCCCCCUCGUUGAUUCGGGGACUCGGGAAAAGUUCUGACAAGGA
rnacentral:snRNA from 1 species